CGGUAAUUGCCGGCUCCGAUAGCGGUAUACUAAAGUUGUUGCAGUUAAGAAGCUCGUAUAUGGAUUUCUGCGGGGACGGAACGGCCGGACGCAACUUGCGUCUCGAGCUAGUGCUUUCCCCGCAUCCUGCCGCGAAACGCGCUACCAUUAGUUUGGAGGCGCCGGGGAUCGGCUCGAUUACUUUGAGAAAAAUACAGAGUUCCAAGCAGGCCACACGACUUGAAGAAGUUACCAUGUAAUAAGGACUAACGACUUUGGUUCUUUUCCUUGGAGUUCGGGACUGAAGUAAUGAUUGACAGGGACAGUUGGAGCGUGUCCGUAUUCCACAGCGAGAGGUGAAAUUCUUAGACCUUCCCAAGACGAACAGCUGCGAAUGCGUUCCGCACGGAUGAUCCCUUUGAUAAAUAACGAACGGUGGGUCAUCCAAAAGGAUCAAAUACCGACGUAUUCUCGAGUAUAAACUAUACCAGCUAGGGAUCGGCCAGCGUUUAACUUUAUCGACUUGGUCGGCACAUUAUGAGAGAUCAAAGCAUAUGGUGUUCCGGGGGGAGUAUGGUCGCAAGGCUGAAAUUUAAAGGAAUUGACGGAAGGGCACCACCAGCCGUGGAGCCUGUGGCUUAAUUUGACUCAACACGGGAAAACUUAGCAGGUCCAGACAUAGGAAGGAUUGACAGAUUGAUAGCUCUUUCUUGAUUCUGUGGGUGGUGGUGCAUGGCCGUUUUUAGUUGGUGGAUGUGAUCUGUGUGUUUAAUUGCGUUAACGGACGAGACGCCAGCCUGAUAAAUAGCGCGCCCGAGCUUUGUUCGUUGCGAGCUUCUUAGAGGGAGCAUGAUGCUCGAUAGCACAAGGAACUUUGGGGCAACAACAGGUCUGUGAUGCCCUUAGAUGUUCUGGUUCGCACUCGGGGUACUCUGGCGCAUGCAACGAGCAUAUCAGCUGAUCCGAGAGGGUCUUGGGUAAUCUUUGGAGGGAGGCGCCCGUAGCUUGGAGAUUGCAACAUUGCAUAUUGUUGGUCAUGCAACGAGGAAUACCUUGUAAACGAGAGUCAUCAGCUCGCAUUGAAUACGUCCCUUCUCUUAGUACACACCGCCC
rnacentral:rRNA from 1 species